UACGUAGGGGGCAAGCGUUGUCCGGAAUCAUUGGGCGUAAAGAGCGUGUAGGCGGCCUGGUAAGUCCGCUGUGAAAGUCCAGGGCUCAACCCUGGAAUGCCGGUGGAAACUGUCAGGCUCGAGUCCGGAAGAGGCGAGUGGAAUUCCUGGUGUAGCGGUGAAAUGCGCAGAUAUCAGGAGGAACACCAAUGGCGAAGGCGGCGCUCUGGGCUGCACCUGACGCUGAGAUGCGAAAGUGUGGGGAGCAAACGGG
rnacentral:rRNA from 1 species